rnacentral:rRNA from 1 species
GACGAACGCUGGCGGCGUGCCUAAUACAUGCAAGUAGAACGCUGAAGGAGGAGCUUGCUCUUCUGGAUGAGUUGCGAACGGGUGAGUAACGCGUAGGUAACCUGCCUGUUAGCGGGGGAUAACUAUUGGAAACGAUAGCUAAUACCGCAUAACAGUAGAUGUUGCAUGACAUUUGUUUAAAAGGUGCAAUUGCACCACUACCAGACGGAGCUGCGGUGUAUUAGCGAGGUGGUGGGGUAACGGCUCACCAAGGCGAGUAUACAUAGCCGACCUGAGAGGGGGAGUGGCCGGCCUGGGAGUGAGACACGCCACAGACGCCUACGGGAGGCAGCAGUAGGGAAUCUGCGGGAAUGGGCGGAAGUCUGACCACGAAACGCGGCGUGAGUGAAGAAGGUUUUCGGAUCGUAAAGCUCUGUUGUAAGGGAAGAAAGCGUGUGAGAGUGGAAAGAACACACUGUGACGGUAUCGUACAAGAAAGCGACGGCUAACUACGUG